ensembl:lncRNA LOC120098895 extensin-like
GUACGGGUUCAGCAUGGCUGCCACAGCCCCAAGAUGCACAGAGCGCAUGCGUAAGGGUGUGUCUGGCCUGGGGGAGGGGAGGCACGGGUCGCGCGGAGAGCCGUGAUGCGCAGGCUCAGUCUGCCCCGAGCCUGGGGGCCGACCCGCGGCGCGCCCUGGGUGUGGCGGGAGCGCGCGGGCCUGCGCCCGGACGGCUUCUUCCCGCCCCCGACUCCCCUCCGCGGCGGCGGGAGUAGGUUCUUCCGGCUCCGGUCUGAGGCGGUGCCUGGCACCUUCUGACCAGGAUCCGCGGGUCCCCGUGCUGUGGUCCCGGGAGGCACGCGGGGCCUGCCUGCUAUAGCUGGUUUGCUGGGCGAGCCUCCCUGGAGCGGUAGGGUCGGUUUGGGUGUUGCACGCUCGGUUUGACGUUUUAAUCCGGAGGAGUUGUGGGGUUCCUCGAAUCUCAAACUGCCUUCUUCCCUUUUGAGACUUGAAAAUACCCGAAGCCUGCCUUCUACGAAGUUUACCGCCAAUUUCUUUCCCUGAUCUUGUACAGGUAGACCCUUUAACCUAAGGCUCCCACUGCGAGAUUUUCCCGUUUUUUUUUUUUUUUUCCUGGUUCUUUCCCCGACAUUGUCUAUAUUCUAAAUUUCCGUGGCCGGUUUUAGCCAGUUUCAGUUUCUCAGUCUUGAAUCCAUCCUAUUACAGUUUAGGAUGGCAACUUAAAACACAAUGUAGUUGACUUAAAAUGUGGAACUCGCGUUUAUCUCUGUCUUCUUUGUCUUUCAAAGUAUGGUCUGGAUUUACACUCUUCCCCCAGACGACCAUCUACCUGUCUUCUCCGUGUGUACGUCUCUUAUUUUAUCAGGGGCUUCUCUGUUGAAGGAAAUUGCUUUUGACUUGGUCACCUUUCUCUGUUAUCCUAAGUCCUGUCCAUUUGCUCUCCUAGCCAAAAAGAAAACCCUAUUUGGUAUCUACCCUGUCAGUGAGUACUCCCCGGUUUUCUCAACUCCCUUGCACAACAAGGGCCUGGACUUACAAGAUGCUAGCUCCCAGCUCUCUUUGCUUCUCACUUCAUUCAGCUCUGAGGCGUGUCCUCACCACCCUCCGUACCAGAACCUCGUAGCCGACCACCCCAGGGUCCACUUAGAAUUCUUAUCUGGCCUGGCCUUUGAUUUCUCCCUGACAUUGCCUUGCUAUCAUGCCCCACCCCCGCAGUGUCUGUUCUGUAGGUCUGAGUGGCUGGUUCCUGCUGUUUGUCUGGACUGUGUCUACACUGUCAUCUUCAGUGACUCAAGCCUUUCAACUCCACCAUUAGAUUAGACCGUUCUUUUUUUUUUUUUUUUUUUGGUUCUUUUUUUCGGAGUUGGGGAUCGAACCCAGGGCCUUGCGCUUCCUAGGUAAGCGCUCUACCACUGAGCUAAAUCCCCAACCCAGAUUAGACCGUUCUUGAGCAGAACUUUACUAUUUUAAAAAAAAAAAAAUCCCUGCUUGGUGUCUGGAGAGAUGGCUCAGCGGUAAGAGCACUGACUGCUCUCCCAGAGGUCCUGAGUUCAAUUCCCAGCAACCACAUGGUGGCUCAUAACCAUCUGUAAUGGGAGGUGGCAUGUCUGAAGACAGCUACAGUGUGCUCAUAUACAUAAAGUAAAUCUCCAAGACGGAGAGCUCCUGCUUGGAUAGCCGCAGACACUACAGGAUGUUCAGAAUUGAUGUGGGCUCCACAGCGCACCAGACCUCCUGCUGCUGUGUUACUCCAAAUGACAGCAGCUUCCAAGUCACGUCGAUGUCCUCACCUUUACUUAGAACUGUAUCUGCCUGAGUCUUACCAUCCCCUUCCAAAAUAACCAAGGAGUGGUGCCUUCGCUGCAUCCCCUGGACUUGUUAAAGGCCUAAGUCACUCUCUACACAGCAGCAACUCGAGUUUAAAUCUAUUAGACGCAGUUUAAGUUUGUCUCACAGUGGCCGAAUUUCAAGUUCUCAGGGGCCAGGCAUGGUUAGUGCCUGUCCUAUGAAGGCACAUUUUCAAGCACUCUGCCACCAAGCUUCAUCCACGGCUCUGGAAUUGUGUUUUGGAUGGUGGGGCUCUGGGCUUUUCCACUCUUGACCUAGGCUAGAACUCUGCUCCUGUGUUAUUUGUUAAUCUCAUGUUUGUCAGAACGGUCGGCUUGCUGCAGCCACCUCCAGCUAGCCAGUUCCUCUCCAGCCCCCUACCCGGCUCACGGAGCAGUUCCCAGACAUGUCACAUGUCAAUGUCAUCUUGGAAUUUGUUUUGUUCUUUUUUUUGGAGCUGGGGACCGAACCCAGGGCCUUGAGCCUGCUAGGCAAGCGCUCUACCACUGAGCUAAAUCCCCAACCCCUUGGAUUUUUAUCUUCGUGCUUUUACAUGUAUGUUUCUUCUACAAGGAGUUGGCUUUCCCUCAGUUUAAACCAACAUCUGGGAACAGCUUACUCGCAACACCUAAAUUAAACUGGUUUAUUUGGAUCCACUUAAACCUUUUAUAGUGAGCCGUAAUCACCUGCUUCCCUUAACUAUGAAACUUCAUCCCAAUGGAGUGAUGGGGUGUGUGUGUGUGUGUGUGUGUAUGGACAGUGUCUCACUAUAUAGCCCUGGUUGCUCUGACACUCUGUAGACCAGGCUGGCCUUGAACUCACACAGAUCCACCUGCCUCUGCCUCCGGAGAUGAACCACGCCUGGCAUCACCUCUGGUUGUCAUGGGAAACUCAAAGACGUUACAUCACUCAUCCAAGAUCAGACUGCUGCUAAGUAGCAGAGCUAGGAUUUGAACCCACGAUCUACUUGUGAGUGGUGUGUUAUCAGGUGUACACAGCCAGCCCCACGGAGUUACGGGGCCAAAGCAGUGAAGACCAGGGGAGGGAUACCUGAGAGCUGUCUUCACGGUGCUGUUUACAUUAAGACUUGAAGCACACACAGCCACAGUUUCUUCCUCACCUCCCCCUCCGCAGCCCACCACAAUCUGGAGUUGACUCCUACUACAGUUGGGAGAGUGUUCUCAGUAAAUGUGCCUUCCAUCGUAUAACUGCCAGAUCUGACACUCCUCAGCCCUUCCUGCAUCCAGAGUGGGCCACUCUGCUUCCAUCACCUGGGGCUGCCUCCCCCCCCCCCACUGUGUUCCCGGCACCUCCAGAUUCUUGGGAUUAGCAUAUGCGGUGUUAGUUACUCUCCGAAGAUCCUCCCGGACUUGGUGUCCCUCCUGGCUUUCCUGGCUGGCUUCCUGUGGAUUCUGCCAGCAGUAGACACCGAAGAAAACCCAGAAACUUAAAGCUUCAGUCUCCCGUCCGGUGACAGACAGUUGUGGCCCUUGUUGGUGGAGGUAGCCAUUGCAGCAGUGUGGAUGACAGCUUCCUCGAAGAAGCUCCUCCAGGAUCCUGAGCUUGGUGGCAGCUUCAAAGGAGAUGGAUCUCCAUGGCCUCCAGUGCCUCUACCUGGCUGCCGCAGAUGCAGACGGGGUUCUGGCUCGGGCUGGGGCAGUGUCUGGUCCCACCCUCCAUGUCUUGUGGCUUCAGUUGCAGGAAGCCUCCACCCUUUGGCCCUUCCUGCCUCCUUACCGUCUUCGAAUCUGACUUUAUACAUCCCGUUCUCCCAAUCUAAUGUGCCUGCGAACCCAGCACUGGGUGGCUAAGGCCACUCUGCUGUGAGUUUGAGGCCGGCUCUAUAGGGACGUCCAUCUCAACAAAGCAAAGCAAACGAGCCUGGAUUCCAGGCGUGGCUCAAUGCUCCUGCCUGGGGGCUGGGUGGUAGCUGAUGAGGUUGGACCCCUGCAGCCCUGAGUCUGUGACCCCCUUUACCUUCAGCGCAGUCUACUUGGUGAUUUGACCCUCUGCUUCAUCUGUGGUCCCUCUUCCUCCACCUCACCACUCCUGUGGGCUGUUCCACAGCACCCCAAAUUUAAAACAUCUACGAUCAUAUCCCCCCCAUCUCCUCUUCCUUCCUCUUCCCUCCUCCGUUUUGUCCCCCCCCAACCCAACCCAACCCAGGGCCUCAUACAUCUUAAGACAAGUGCUUUACAAAUAGACUACAGCCUUCUCUAACCCAGACUCAAGCUGGCCUUGAACUCACUUGGUAGCCCUGUAGGCAUAAAUUGUUUGCAACCUACUUUCAAUAAGGGUUCAACCUUUCUUCUAACCCACCACCCAGCAGAGGUAGGGGAACAGAAAAGCUACUAGGAUGUGGGGGGGAGUGGACCUGUUCGGCAGUAGUUCUUUGGGGGGUGAGCUCGGUCUUCCUCGGCAGCAGUUCAAUCCCACAACAAACAGCAAAUAAGACGCAGCAGCUGCAGACCGGCCCUCUAGGCAGACAGACAGCACGCACGAACCAGCAGCUGCAGUCCAGUCCUUUCAGCAAGCAGACACCAGGCUGUAGUAGUUCAAUCUUGAAGAAACUGCCAGGCUCACCAACAGCCUGAGGCGAGGCCACCAGAGGCAGCAAGCUGCAGCUGUACCACAAGUCCCACAAGUCGAGCUGUAUAAGGUGAAACAAUACAUGUGUCAUUAGCGAAGAAUAGCGAGGCGGAGCAAACCAAACCAAUGGUCAGUGCUCCUCCCCUACUGCCUGUGAGGUCACAUUUAUACUCCUCCAUCAUGGGUCCCUUCCCGUGUCUGCUAUGUCCAAACACCCUUUCACCUGUGUCUGCUUCAGGAAAACAGCCUUUCCCGUGUCUCCUUUAGCAAGUCUUCCUUUCACCCGUGUGCCCCAGCAAACCAUCAUUUGACAUAACUUUUCCAAAGAUACUGGAAGUUUCCUCUUUGUAGCCCGACCUUGAACUUGCGAUCUUGUACUCCAGGCCCCGAGUAUUGGGGAUCAGGGGUACUCAUCUCCAGGCCCAGCUUCCCCAUCUUUCAGUAAGCCCUUGGUAGCCAAGCCCUUCAGAGCCAGCUUCCUCAUCUAUCCCAGCGUUCGAGUGCAUUUUCUUUGAGUAUCACCUCAUCUGGGACCUUUUCAUCUCCAGCCUUUUGUGAUGGGAAGGCACAUUAAUGUCCACUCCUGACAAACGGAGCCAGUUGGCCAGUGGUUUUAGGUUUUCCCAAGUUCCAGUGGUUUGAGAUAUCAAAACCACUCAAAAAUGCUAAAUUUGCCUGCUGACAGUGGCACACUCCUCUAAUCCCAGCACUCUGGGAGUCCGAGGCAGGCAAAUUCUUAUGGUUCAAAGCCAGCUUGGUCUUCGUGGUAAGUUCCAGGCCAGCCAGAGUGCUAUGCAGUUAGGCCUUUUCUUAAGAUGAUGAUGAUGAAAGAGAGCUGGAGGGAUGGCUCAGUGGUUAGAGCACUGACUGCUCUUCCAGAGGUCCUGGGUUCAAUUCCACAUGGUGGCUCACAACCAUCUGUAAUGGGAUCCGAUGCCCUCUUCUGGUGUGUCUGAAGACAGCGACAGUGUACUUAUAUAGAAU